CAGAGAGUAGUUUUAUGUUUUAAAAUAUUAGUUUUGGGAAUUAAUGAAAAGGUUUAUCUUUUCUCUGA
rnacentral:tRNA from 1 species